AUCAUCCUCGUCCUUAGUCUUUUAUAUGCACUAAUACGAGAUCUGCUUAUUUGAUUGACCCUGUCCUCACCUCGUCAAAACCGGCUUUAAUUGAUAUAUCUCUGGCUGCAGAAUGCGCGCUAAGUGGAGAAAGAAACGACAAAGGCGAUUGAAGCGAAAGCGACGAAAGAUGAGGGCCAAGGCCGUAUAAGCUCCAUUGCGUGAGAGGAAUUUUUUUUGUAGAAUCAAGUACUCUUUUUCGUAGCCGUUGGUUGACAAGAAACAGUAUGGCGGUGGUACUUUAGACGAUUGAAAAGCGAAAAACCAAAAAGUGCCCUACCACUCUAGCCACCACCUGACUUUACCAAAUUGACAUUUUUUUCUACAAAAUGGAAAUUCUAAAUAAAACACAUAUUUAUCCGUUUUUGGUUUAUCAUCGA